AGUUUAUUGGACAGAGAUAUACUUCUCAGGGAAGAACAGCAAUUGCUCUUGUGUGCAUUCAGCCACUAAAAAGAACAGUCACUGACUCAGUAACUCAUUGUCUCUCAGUAAUCCAGGACCUGAAUGGCGGUUUGUGGGUGAAAUGCAUUCAGUAAAAAAGUAGGUUUGGUUUGCAAAUUUCAAAAGCAACAAACUUUUUGAGUUCACAACUUCUGCUGGUAUAUAAGGACCUCAAAUUCUUAGCCCUGUAGAGGGUAAAAAGGUAGACUGUUUCACAUUCAGAGUUUUUGAUGAAUUGAGCAUCUGGUAUGGACAAUCGCCAUCAUCUCUUUUUGGUAGCUUUAAGCAAAUAUUAAGCUUAACAUGUUAAGAAUAUUGAAUUUUAUGUGUAUUAGUACAAAUUAGUCUAUGCAUAGAGAUAUCAGAAAAUGCAUUAAUAAUGUAUAAAGACAUUGUAGAACAUGUAUCAUUACACCUAUCACCAUGCCACUUAUAGAGCGGUCCCCUCUGCCAUUUUCCCCUACUGUAGCUGUAGUGUCUAAAAUUUAAGAGAGCAACACUGCUGAUGAAAUCAGACAUUGGGACAGGGGUAUCACACUAAGGGUGCAACAUUAGUGACUUCUGUCACUCUACAAAUGUAAUUAAAUAUAUAUUAGGUCUAUCUUUAAUGAUAAGCACUGGGUUUAGUGUAUGAAUUGUCUUACUAUUGACUUAUGUAGCGUGUGAAAUUGAAAAAUGUCUUCAUUUUCUUUUCAAAUUCCUUUGUCUGCAACCUGUCUGUGUUCUGGUAAUGAAGCCAUAAAUUUACUAUUUCAACAUAACGUUAAAGUUUAACACAGCAUAAAUAUUUUAAGAUGCUCCUUUCCUGAGACUUAUUGGACCAUCAUGACCUGAUAAGUGGCUAUUGAUGUAAACAGCCAGAGGACUUCCUACCAGCCUGCCCAGCAGGCCCGAAGCCUUGAAAAGGCAGCAUUCAGACUGGCCGCUUUCUGAACCAGCGUGAAAGAGGGAAACGCAUUUAAGCGUCUCCCCCGUCCGGCCGCGCGACCCUGCCCACCUCCUGGCCCGUUACCAGGACCGGCACCUGUGAGGAGCCCAAGCCCCACAGCAUCCCGUACCGACUUCAGCUUUCCCAAUCAACCCCCCCCCACCCCACCCCCACCCCCACCCCCGCCCCAGACUAAUUUGGCAGCCACCACAGUGCGCGUUUGUUUGUCUCAUGCAGCCCAAGAUACUAAUGGAGCCAAGAAGUGCUCUUUCAUUAGAGAAAGAGCUCUGUCUUUUGAGCAUCCUACUCACUCCUCGAAAAGAGACAAAGCGGUCUUUUUGCGCCCUUGAGGACCAGAUGCACUAGGAUCUGCACCACAAGGCAAAAACUUUUACCCGCCCAAUUGCGUUGUUUGUGGGCCCUUAAGAGAAGGAAAAGUCGUGACCCCGUCAGUGAGCUGCGGCUCAUCUUCAGCGGGGGACAGAGGGUCAUGUCAGCCAUCUUUGCUUUCAGACGCAACCCCUGAAGGCAUGUCAAAUGAAACAGAUUGUCAGUGAAAAAGACUGUCUGUGAACAGAUUGUCAGUGAAACAAUGUGUUGAAACGGAAUGUUGGUGAAACGAAAUGCCACUGUGAAAAAGGCUGACAGUGAAGCAGAUUUUCAGUGGAAUAAUUUUGAUAUAGCAGAAUGAAAGACAGCAGAGUGCCGAUGAAACAAAAUGGCAGUGAAAUAGACUGUUGGAAAUGUUGGAAUCUGCAUGUCAGUAUAAGACUGUUAAUGAAACAGAUUGUCAGUGAAUUCGGUAAGAAUAGAAUGUCAGAAUUUCAGAAUUAACAGAACAGAAUUCCAGUAUGAAAAGGGAAGAGAAUGUUGUCUAACAGCAUGUCAUUGACAUAAAAUGUCCCUGAGAACAACUUUUCAUGAAACAGAACAUUGAGGAAACACAAUGUAAAGGAAAAGACAGUUGUCAUCAUUGUUUAUACUUAGCUGUUCAGGGACACUUUUUUUGUUCAUCAUUGAAAUGCACCCUCUACAGAGAAUUUCCGGAAUGCAUCACAACCUUCAAUAGGUUUGGAAACGAGUAUUUAAUGUGGACCGCAUACACUGUAAUGGAUUACUGCAGGUGCUCAACAAUUGCUAAAGAACGCCCAUGUAAAAAAAAAAAAAAAAUCUGAGGUGAAAAAUAACUGAGGUCUCUGGGCUGAUUUUUAAAAAUCAUUAUUAUUUAAAUGUCUCCCUGGCAUUCAAGGCAUUAUGAAUGUUUAAUCCGGCACGGCAUUGGAGCUUGACUUCUGCCACGAGCACGCAUGGUAUGCCUUCCACUUCCGAGAUUUACACAAUAGAAAACAAUGGAGCCGGAAUUGAAGUCACGCUGGGGUCGCUGCCUCCCUCGUGAGUAGCAUAUGAAUGCUGGCGUAGUCCGAAAGGGAGAGGGAGAAACGGGCCUUUAUGAAACCCAUGCGCUGCGCUCUACAACCAUGCCAAUAAAAGUAGGCUUAACGCGUAAGCUGGUGUUAAUUUGAUCUUGAGCAUGUACUAUUUUUAUCGCGGAAAGCUCAGAAGUGCUGCUAGCGGUGUGUGCAGGCCGUUUGUUGAUUGAAUUUGGGAGCACGUCCUCAGAUCGAUUCAUUUCUGUCCACCAUUUUACAUUUCCCUUGUUUGAGUCAAUGAACUUUGACCCCAGAUGUAAGCAGGCCAAUAAACAAAACCAGCUCGACAGUGCAUGCGUGUUAACAGCACAAUGCAUUUAAUAGAUGCUUUUAAACUGGAAGCGGUGAAUAGAUGGAAACCACAAAAUUUCAAAUAGCAUUUAAAUAUAAAUCACAGGCAAACCAUGCUGUGAUUGAACAAUGAUAUGUGUAAUGUUUCUGAAUGUGUAUGGGAAUGCUGCUAUCAACCUAAGGGUACUGGUAUAACACAUGUGGUUUAAUGGCAGGGAACCUCCCUUCUUUAUAUUUUUGAAUAGGUUGGUACAGGUGUGUUAUUACCGAAGAUAAUCUUUUCUAAUAAUACGCACCUUCAUGUCCAACAGAG